rnacentral:rRNA from 1 species
UACGAAGGGGGGCUAGCGUUGUUCGGAUUUACUGGGCGUAAAGCGCACGUAGGCGGAUUGUUAAGUCGGGGGUGAAAUCCUGGAGCUCAACUCCAGAAUUGCCUUCGAUACUGGCUUUCUAGAGGCUGGAAGAGGUUAGUGGAAUUCCCAGGUGUAGAGGUGAAAUUCGUAGAUAUUCGGAAGAACACCAGUGGCGAAGGCGGCUCACUGGCCCGGUACUGACGCUGAGGUGCGAAAGCGUGGGGAGCAAACAGG